UAUGGUUCGUCGGAUAUUUUUAAUAUUAUAUAUUACAGGUAGGCACUCAGCUGAAGGCAGUAAACACCGUCGUCGCACAGGUGUGAUAAAUACUAUUUGAAAACACUAUUUAUCUCGUCGGCCGUAGAAUUUGUAGGGAAUAGUCUGUACGCGUGCGAUUUGCGGCCGUGCGGCGUCUUGUAAAGAUGCGGACGGUUCUGGAGACGGACUGAACCGGCAGCUGUGACCGCGGACGAUGGAUGCUGUGCAGGCUGGUCGAUUGCACGCGGAUGGCUGCGGCGGGAGAGUGACCACGAGCUUGGCCGGUGACAGCCACCGGCGAAGGAUAGUCGACGACCUUUACGCCCGCCGACCCGCGACAAAAAUAAAAUUAAAAACGCGGAGACUCGCUGGACAGCAAAUUCCUCGUUAUGAUAAUACGCGAUCGAUUUAAUAUAUAUAAAUAUAUAAUGCUACAAUACGCCUGUGUGUGUGUGUGUGUGUGUGAGUAAUGAUAUUGAACUGUCGAGCUAUACAUACAGGAAACGGAAAAUACGUCUCCGCCGAACCCACGUGACCAUCAAACCUGGCGAGUGAAUAGUGGCGUAUAAUAAUACAUUACUUUAUUCAUCGUAAAGCCGUCCGGAGAUCGAUCAAAUCGACCCCAAAAACGCCGAAAACGCGUUCAUAUCACCAGCGUGCUCACGAGGUUCGGAGGGUCGACGGUGUCAUCUCAUA